rnacentral:lncRNA from 1 species
UAUUAUACCCUUUUUGAACCUUAGCCUUAAACAGGAUGUGAACCCUUGUCUUGAAAUUCUUUACCUUGAGUUAGGAUGAGCUUAACUGUAUGUGAUGAAAAGGUUCAAGUUUGGGGUUGCAUGGGGGAAAUUGGAAAGCUUUUAAGAAGCAUUGAGCUCAAUUGUUGAAAAGGAAAAAUGCAUGUGAAAAAGAAAAAAAAUAAGAAAAAGCAUGAAGAUGAGCUCAAUGAAAAGGAAAAGGGAAAGAGUUGGGAAUGAGAGAGUUUGGUGAGAAAAAGAGUUGUGCUUAAAUGUUAAACAUUAUGAUAGCUCUCUUAACUCAAGGAUUUUGCAUUCCAGAAAAACCAAUUCUUCUUGUUAGCCCAACCUCAUUACAAGCCUUGGAAAAGUCCUUUUGAUGGCAUUUGCAUGCAAAGAUGUUGAUUGU